UGCUCCUAGUACGAGAGGACCGGAGUGGACGCAUCACUGGUGUUCGGGUUGUCAUGCCAAUGGCAUUGCCCGGUAGCUAAAUGCGGAAGAGAUAAGUGCUGAAAGCAUCUAAGCACGAAACUUGCCCCGAGAUGAGUUCUCCCUGACUCCUUGAGAGUCCUGAAGGAACGUUGAAGACGACGACGUUGAUAGGCCGGGUGUGUAAGCGCAGCGAUGCGUUGAGCUAACCGGUACUAAUGAACCGUGAGGCUUAACCUU
rnacentral:rRNA from 1 species